rnacentral:rRNA from 1 species
CACGUAGGGCGCAAGCGUUGUCCGGAAUUAUUGGGCGUAAAGAGCUCGUAGGCGGUCUGCUACGUCCGCUGUGAAAACCUAGGGCUUAACCCUGGGCUUGCAGUAGAUACGGGCAGACUAGAGGUAGGUAGGGGAGAAUGGAAUUCCCGGUGUAGCGGUGAAAUGCGUAGAUAUCAGGAGGAACACCGAUGGCGAAGGCAGGUCUCUGGGCCGAUACUGACGCUGAGGAGCGAAAGCGUGGGGAGCGAACAGG